CGUCAAUCGUCAAUCGUUUCUGUUUUUAUAUUAGCAAAUUAAUUUAUACACUUUCGCCCGUAUUUGCAAAUUAAGUUUUUUCUUAUUACUCGAAAGAUAUUGAAUGCUAUGCGUCGAGGCUAGAAUAUUCGUGAGAGCUAAUCUGCAAUAUAAGUAAAUUAAAAUAAACUCGGCAGGCAUUCGGCUUCGAGCCUUCAAAUUUACAUGGAUCCUUGGGGUAGUAAAAUUAGUAUAUCAGAAGUUCCAGCAGAAUUUGAAGAUAAUUUCAAGCCUGAACAGAAGUUUGAUAAAUUGACUGAUUCUGCCGAGUACCUCGCCGUUCUCG